UGAGAGUGGAGGGAAGGGAAUUAACUGUCCAAGCUAAGCAGCGCACGAUAGCAGGCUGCAAUCCUGCGCUUCCGCCAUGGCAAAGACGAGAAAGAAGCAAUAAUCGACACAAGCGAACAGAGGACAAGAGAAAUUGGAAGUCACACCAGCAAUAAACCAUCAAAAUCGAUGGUUAACGGGUAUGGGUUCAGCAUCCACUGUGUUCCAUAACCCAGAAUCAGAUGAGGUACAAAAUGGAGCAAUCGUGACGCCGGAGUCGGG
rnacentral:lncRNA from 1 species